ACAUUUAUGAUUAAAUUUUUCGAUUUCCAGAAUUGAAAACCUUGCUUAAAAAUGUGUCCGGUUUCCACUAACACAAUAGGUAAAUUGUCCAAUUUUUUUAAAACUUCCUGGAGUUUUUGUGCUUCAGUGUUGGCUCCCAGUAGGCUUAGCCACUGUUACUAAUAUCAAAC
ensembl:snoRNA K10G6.10 ncRNA